GAAAGCGAGGACAAAUCAACAGGUGAUCUCGUGGAUUACCCUGAGUCCGAAUGCAUGUGAUCUAUCCAUGGUAAGGCUGCACUCUACAUGAGUAACAUGGCCGAUGGGCGGAAUUAUUCGAAAUUGUCCCUGGAACUGUGGAUGGUGGCUAAAUGUCAAUCGUACAUGCUAAUAUCUGGUUGCGUUCGAAAGAUCUAUAGCAAUAG
rnacentral:rRNA from 1 species